AUGAACGCUGGCGGCGUGCCUAAUACAUGCAAGUCGAGCGAACAGAUGAGGAGCUUGCUCCUCUGACGUUAGCGGCGGACGGGUGAGUAACACGUGGAUAACCUACCUAUAAGACUGGGAUAACUUCGGGAAACCGGAGCUAAUACCGGAUAAUAUAUUGAACCGCAUGGUUCAAUAGUGAAAGACGGUUUUGCUGUCACUUAUAGAUGGAUCCGCGCCGCAUUAGCUAGUUGGUAAGGUAACGGCUUACCAAGGCAACGAUGCGUAGCCGACCUGAGAGGGUGAUCGGCCACACUGGAACUGAGACACGGUCCAGACUCCUACGGGAGGCAGCAGUAGGGAAUCUUCCGCAAUGGGCGAAAGCCUGACGGAGCAACGCCGCGUGAGUGAUGAAGGUCUUCGGAUCGUAAAACUCUGUUAUUAGGGAAGAACAAAUGUGUAAGUAACUAUGCACGUCUUGACGGCACCUAAUCAGAAAGCCACGGCUAACUACGUG
rnacentral:rRNA from 1 species